rnacentral:rRNA from 1 species
GACGAACGCUGGCGGCGUGCCUAACACAUGCAAGUCGAGCGAGUGGAUCUCCUUCGGGAGAGAAGCUAGCGGCGGACGGGUGAGUAACACGUGGGCAACCUGCCUCAUAGAGGGGAAUAGCCUCCCGAAAGGAAGAUUAAUACCGCAUAAGAUUGUAGCUUCGCAUGAAGUAGCAAUUAAAGGAGCAAUCCGCUAUGAGAUGGGCCCGCGGCGCAUUAGCUAGUUGGUGAGGUAACGGCUCACCAAGGCGACGAUGCGUAGCCGACCUGAGAGGGUGAUCGGCCACAUUGGGACUGAGACACGGCCCAGACUCCUACGGGAGGCAGCAGUGGGGAAUAUUGCACAACGGGGGAAACCCUGAUGCAGCAACGCCGCGUGAGUGAUGACGGCCUUCGGGUUGUAAAGCUCUGUCUUCAGGGACGAUAAUGACGGUACCUGAGGAGGAAGCCACGGCUAACUACGUGCCAGCAGCCGCCGUAAAAC